rnacentral:tRNA from 1 species
GCCCCUGUAGCUCAGAUGGAUAGAGCGCGGCUCUCCUAAGGCCGGCGUGGGCCGUUCGACUCGGCCCAGGGGCA